ACAUCCUGUACGACGUCGGGGUCUACGGCUGCCAGGGCUGCUGCAGCUUCAAGUGUCUCAACAGCGGCCUCCUCUUUGCCAGCCGCUACCCCAUCAUGGACGUGGCCUAUCACUGUUACCCCAACAAGUGUAACGACGAUGCCCUGGCCUCUAAGGGAGCUCUGUUUCUCAAGGUGCAGGUGGGAAGCACACCUCAGGACCAAAGAAUCGUCGGGUACAUCGCCUGCACACACCUGCAUGCCCCGCAAGAGGACAGCGCCAUCCGGUGUGGGCAGCUGGACCUGCUUCAGGACUGGCUGGCUGAUUUCCGAAAAUCUACCUCCUCGUCCAGCGCAGCCAACCCCGAGGAGCUGGUGGCAUUUGACGUCGUCUGCGGAGAUUUCAACUUUGAUAACUGCUCCUCUGGUGAGGCCGGGCUCCUCCCCACUCAGGUCUCCAGCUCUGGGGAGGCUGUGGGCUCAGUCACAGCUAGACAGACUUCGUUAGGCAGCUCAAAGAAUUCCUGCUCCUCGAGAGCAUGUGGGCGGGGUAUUUAGCAAGACUGAUUUCUCUGCCCCCUAGAAAUCCUAGAACAGG
rnacentral:sRNA from 1 species